GACGAACCGUGCGAACGUUGUUCGGAAUCACUGGGCUUAAAGGGCGCGUAGGCGGGCGAUCAAGUCCGGGGUGAAAUCUUUCGGCUUAACCGGAAAAGUGCCUUGGAUACUGAUCGUCUGGAGGGAGGUAGGGGCAUGUGGAACUUCCGGUGGAGCGGUGAAAUGCGUUGAUAUCGGAAGGAACGCCGGUGGCGAAAGCGACGUGCUGGACCUCUUCUGACGCUGAGGCGCGAAAGCCAGGGGAGCGAACGGG
rnacentral:rRNA from 1 species